GACGAACGCUGGCGGCGUGCUUAACACGUGCAAGUCGAACGGAAAGGCCCCUGUGGGGGUACUCGAGUGGCGAACGGGUGAGUAACACGGGAGUAACCUGCCCUUGACUUCGGGAUAACUUCAGGAAACUGGGGCUAAUACCGUAUAGGAAUCCUUGCUGCAUGGUGGGGGUUGGAAAGCUUCGGCGGUUUUGGAUGGACUCGCGGCUUAUCAGCUUGUUGGUGGGGUAGUGGCUUACCAAGGCUUUGACUGGUUGCCGGCCUGAGAGGGCGACCGGCCAAGGUGGGACUGAGAGACGGCCCAGACACCUACGGGAGGCAGCAGUGGGGAAUAUUGCACAAUGGGCGGGAGCCUGAUGCAGCAGCGCCGCCUGCGGGAUGACGGCCUUCGGGUUGUAAACCGCUUUCCGCAGGGGCGAAGCUUGUGGUGACGGUACCUGCAGAAGAAGCACCGGCUAACUACGUG
rnacentral:rRNA from 1 species